rnacentral:tRNA from 1 species
GCCUGGCUGGCUCAGUGGAUAGAGCAUGUGACUCCUGAUCUCAAAGUUGUGAGUUAGAGCCCCAUGUUGGGGG